UGAUAUAUAUAAGAGAGCUGACGGUUUCAGUUAGGAACUGUGUGCUUUCUCUUCUUUUUCUCUCUUAUUUCACCUCCAUGUUUCUCUCUCCAGAUCCAUCUUCUUCCUAUCAAUUACUUAUCCAAAACCUAAAAAAAAAACUAAUAUUUUCAACAAAUACUGUUUUAAUUUUGAUUAUAUAUUUCUUAGACUGUCAUUUCAAAUUAAGAAGGUAAAAGAAAAUGAGAAUAUUUUUUAAGGCAAUUUGUCUCCCAUUACUUCGACGUGAAGUUCUUCAGCCCUUCGUCUUGAGGUUGUUGAUUUGAGAUACAAAUCGAUUGUGUUUGAUUUCUACGUCAAACAAUGAUGAAGGGAAAAUUUUCUUUGCAAACUACUGAAAAUGAUAACAGCAUGGAAUCCAUGAAUAGUUUUCUGAAUAAGAAGAUAUUAGCUAGAUGGGAGCCUAAUGAAGGUUGUAGGCCUAUUGUUAAUAAUGCACCAGUCUUUUACCCCUCUAUGGAGGAAUUUGAAGAUCCUCUUGGUUACAUAGCGAAAAUACGUCCCAAAGCAGAACAUUAUGGUAUUUGUAGGAUUGUUCCUCCUUCUUUGUGGACUCCACCGUGCACUAUAAAAGAUGAGACAUUCUGGCAAACUGCCAAGUUCAAUACAAGGAUACAGCAGCUGGAUCUGCUUCAAAAUAGGGAGCCUAUGAAAAAGAAAAGAAGCCGGAAGAGAAAAAGAAGAAGGAAUUCAGCGCCUUUGAAAGUAACUACCUCCGAAUCUGAAGAUAUAUUUGGAUUCAAUUCUGGUUCGGAUUUUACAUUGGAGAAGUUUCAAGAAUUUGCUCGUAAUUUCAAGGAAUGUUAUUUCAAGAGGAGUGAUCGUAUAUGUGAUUCAAUUACUCCUAAGAAGAUUAAGGUGACCCGGAAGUGGGAGCCUUCUGUGAAAGCUAUUGAAGGUGAAUAUUGGAGGAUUAUCGAGCAUCCUACAGAUGAAGUUGAGGUUUUAUAUGGAGCCGAUCUGGAAACUGGUGCAUUUGGAAGAGGGUUCCCAAAGGCAUUAGCUUUGCUAAAUGAUAGCAGCAAAUUGAAUGAAUAUGUGAUGUCGGGAUGGAAUUUGAACAACUUGCCCCGUCUAUCUGGUUCUGUUCUUCGAUUUGAAGAAAAUGACAUCUCUGGUGUCUUAGUGCCUUGGCUAUACAUUGGCAUGUGCUUCUCAUCAUUUUGUUGGCAUGUUGAGGACCACCAUCUCUAUUCAUUGAACUAUCUACAUUGGGGUGAGCCAAAGGUAUGGUAUGGAGUUCCUGGAACCAAAGCUCCGGCUUUGGAAAAAGCCAUGAGAAAGCAUCUACCGGAUCUCUUUGAAGAACAUCCGGAUUUACUUCAUGAACUGGUGACACAGCUGUCUCCUUCGACAUUGAAGUCUGAGGGAGUACCCGUUUAUAGAGCUGUUCAGUAUGCUGGGGAAUUUGUUCUUACUUUCCCAAGAGCUUACCAUUCUGGAUUUAACUGUGGAUUUAAUUGUGCUGAAGCAGUUAAUGUGGCCCCAGUCGAUUGGUUAGAACACGGGCAAAGUGCGGUCGAGCUUUACAGUGUGCAAUGUCGCAAAACAUCAGUUUCGCAUGACAAAUUGUUACUUAAAUCAGCUAAAGAAGCUAUUCGAGCUCUUUUUGAGUUAUAUGUUCUUCAAAAGGAGGCUACUGAAAAUUCAGGAUGGAUAGAUUUUUGCGGGAAGGGUGGAAAACUUACAAAUGCGGUUAAGAGAAGGACUGUGAUGGAGGAAGAAAGAGUGAAUAAUCUUCUGGGCUUCAGGACCGAAAGGAUGAAAAGUGAUUUUGAUUCAGAAAGUGAGAGGGAGUGUUUUUCAUGCUUUUACGACUUGCACCUUUCAGCAGCUGGCUGCAAGUGCUCUCCAAAGAAGUUUGCAUGCCUUAAACAUGCAAAAGAACUAUGCUCGUGUAAAUUGAACGAUAAGUUUGUCCUCAUUCGUUACAAUAUGGACGAAUUAAGAACUCUGGUCCAAGCACUAGAGAUGAAUGUUGACGCCCUUAAAAUAUGGUCAGCUGAAGAAGGUAAAAAUGAUUUAGACUUAGAUCUCGGUUCCAAUUGGGAUGAUGAAAAUUGUGGGGCAGGAACUUUGGUAUCCUCAAAAGGAAAUCUUUUUACAGAACAUGGUUUUGGUGAUGCUUCUGUUUUGGACGAAUUAAAAAGUUCCCACUUGUCACUUGGUGUUGAUCUUUCCGGUUUUAUGUUAAAACCUGAUGUUCCAAUGAAACUGGGAUUUGGCUUGGAACCGGUAACUUUUGGACCAAUUCUGAAACCGGGCUUGUAUGUGGAACCGAUAACUUAUGGGAAGGUGUUGUUUCGUAAGCUUUGGUGCAAUAAACAAAACAUUUUCCCGAAAGGAUUUAAAAGCCAGGUUAGGUUCAUUAGUGUAGAAAACCCAUCAGAAAUGCGUAUGUACACAUCGGAAAUCUUCGACACCUCGGAUUUCUUCGGACAAGGGCCAUUUAGACCACCAUUAUUUAAGGUUACCAUGAAAGGGUAUAAAGAAGUAUGGCUUUCAACUGUUUCUGCUGAUAGGUCAUGGGAACUGGUUCUGGAGAGAUUAAACCAGAAAAUCGAAGAUCAUAUAAAAUGCGAUAAGAGUUAUCGAUAUUUACAGCCUCCAAAAACCCUCAACGGGCUUGACAUGUUCGGUUUUCUUUCCCCUCCCACUGUGAAGGCUAUUGAGAAUCUUGAUCCAAAUCAUCAAUCUGAGGAAUAUUGGCAUCACAAGCUUUCAGUUGAGAAGGACUCCUCAAUUGGAGUCUCUAUGUCGAGAUUUGACCAAUCUGAAAUAAAAAAUGAAGUGAAGAGGGGUGAAUGUUUAUUGGGUGAUGGAGUGGGGAAUUCGAUGGAGGAAGCGAUACAAAUGUUGGGAAGAAAUGGUUGUUAUGCAACGAAAUCUGGAAGACGAGUCAGAACGCACCGAGUAAAGGGAGGCUGGAUGAGUUUGUAAAUAAAAGAAUGAGAGAAGAAGCUGGCAGAUCCCCAUAAUUGUUUUCUUAGAACAGGCAGCCAUUGAUCCGUCCGCAUCUUUGUCCGUGUUUCCAUGAUGUCCAGAGAUUCUUCCCCAAAAGAAACAGAGAGCCUCAUGAGGAAAAUUCUUUCUAACCAAAAUCACCCGAUCAAUGCUUACCAAGAUUCUCUUAAGAGAUGAUGGAGAAUUUAGCAAUCCAGGGAUAUUAUAAAGAUCAAAAACAGCAUAAAUUCCAUCAAAAAGACACAAAAAAGCAAGUCAAGUUGCCAAAACCAAACUUUGUCUUGAAAUUAAAAUUAACCGUGUCUCAGUAAUAAAA